rnacentral:rRNA from 1 species
GUGGAUUAGUGGCGAACGGGUGAGUAACACGUGAGUAACCUGCCCUGGACUCUGGGAUAACCCCGAGAAAUCGGAGCUAAUACCGGAUAGGACCUUUCCCCGCAUGGGGUUUGGUGGAAAGUUUUUCGGUUUGGGAUGGACUCGCGGCCUAUCAGCUUGUUGGUGAGGUAAUGGCUCACCAAGGCGUCGACGGGUAGCCGGCCUGAGAGGGUGACCGGCCACACUGGGACUGAGACACGGCCCAGACUCCUACGGGAGGCAGCAGUGGGGAAUAUUGCACAAUGGGCGCAAGCCUGAUGCAGCAACGCCGCGUGCGGGAUGACGGCCUUCGGGUUGUAAACCGCUUUUAGUAGGGAAGAAGGGCUUCGGCUUGACGGUACCUGCAGAAAAAGGACCGGCUAACUACGUGCCAGCAGCCGCGGUAAUACGUAGGGUCCGAGCGUUGUCCGGAAUUAUUGGGCGUAAAGAGCUCGUAGGCGGUUUGUCGCGUCUGCUGUGAAAACUAGAGGCUCAACCUCUAGCCUGCAGUGGGUACGGGCAGACUUGAGUGGUGUAGGGGAGACUGGAAUUCCUGGUGUAGCGGUGGAAUGCGCAGAUAUCAGGAGGAACACCGAUGGCGAAGGCAGGUCUCUGGGCACUUACUGACGCUGAGGAGCGAAAGCGUGGGGAGCGAACAGGAUUAGAUACCCUGGUAGUCCAC